UCUGAUGGGCUUUUAAUCCUCCGACCCAACACAACGUGGUCUGCUGCUUCUAGCAACAUCGCCUUGUGCUUUUAGGGUUUCAGCUUCGUUCACAAAACCUUCGCUGCCGGCCUUUUCUCGGCCUUCACCAUUCCCUCCGCUCGCCAUGGCUGCCGCCGCUAGGUCGGUCCUUCGCUCGGCUUCGAUCCGCGGCGGCGCGGCGCGGGUCGCGGCCGAGGCCGUAGCGGCCUCGCGCCCUCAACUUCGCUGUCUCCCCAAACUGAGGCCGGCAGCCGCCAGUCGUUUCCUCAGGUCUCCCGUGGAGGCGAGCUUCUGUGUGGAGUCGCUAAUGCCGAUGCACAGCGCAACGGCCACGGCGUUGUUGACCUCGAUGCUCAAUGUUUCGCGUAGGGGAUAUGGAUGGCUCUCCGAAGGAUGUGAUGAAACUAGAUGAAAGUCAAGCACCAAAAGGUCUGUGAUUUUUCAGCACGGAGAAUUGCUAAACAGAGGUCAUGCUGCUCCUCUUCCUUCGCCUGUCUCCUCAAUUACCCCCAUUAUGAAUAAAGAGAAUUAUCUAAACUUUUCAAACUUGUGUUGCUUGGUCUUCGGUGGUUGGAGCUCAUGUACUUGUAGAUUAUGAGUCGUAGCUUCUCGUGUACCUUUCAUCAGUAGUACUUGUUGCGGUUAUCUGUUGUUGUUACAGUGUAGGCAGUUGCUAAAGUUGUUUCUUUUCAAAGAGUUAGAAGGAUAUGCACAUCAGUGAGUGUGUGUACUCGACUCUUUUAGACUGCCUCAUCUAAAAUAGCUUGUGGUAGAAGGAAAUUUGUUGGUUAACUAUAGUCAUCUAAAAUAAGACUCUUUUAGACUCUUUUAGACCGCCUCA